rfam:Lactonifactor longoviformis DSM 17459 genome assembly, contig: EJ64DRAFT_scaffold00012.12
AUACAGCUCCGGCAAAACCAGCGAAAGCUGGUGGCGCAAAGCUAGAGGGCCUAAGCUUACAAAGAGUAUGGCAGCCAGUUGCACAA